GUGGAUUAGAUACCCGGGUAGUCCACGCCGUAAACUUUGGGUGCUAGGCGUCGCGGGUAUUGACCCCCGCGGUGCCGCAGCUAACGCGUUAAGCACCCCGCCUGGGGAGUACGGUCGCAAGACUAAAACUCAAAGGAAUUGACGGGGGCCCGCACAAGCGGUGGAGCAUGUGGUUCAAUUCGAAGCAACGCGAAGAACCUUACCUGGGCUUGACAUCUGGAGAACCUCCUGGAAACAGGAGGGUGCCUUCGGGAGCUCCAAGACAGGUGCUGCACGGUCGUCGCCAGCU
rnacentral:rRNA from 1 species